rnacentral:other from 1 species
UUUCCUGCCCUGUCCGCGAACAUUGCGGCCAUUAUAACCCUACAAGUUUUUAAUAGGGAGCUCGGCUCCCGGUGUGGGUAUGCAGGCCUCCCGGCAUUCGCCGGAAGUUGGAAGCACAAAGCAUCGGGGAGGGCACCCACCUGUCUGUAGACAGGUUAUGAAUCGGCCGUUCUACGGCAGGGCGGGGAA